UCCUGCACAUUUUUUUAAUAAAAAUGAAAUCACUUUUAAUACUUGCAACAUGUGCUGUGUUUUCUCCAGUGACUGUCCAUACGGAGUGUCCAUAUUGGAUUUGAGAGCUAUAAGUGGAUAGAUACAACUAUGUUUCUGUAUUUUGGUAACAGUGACUUCAGAAGACACGGAAAGUAGUCAUAUGAGUGGUUUGGAUUACUUCAAGGUUUUUGUUUUUUUUGUCAAUUAAAGCUUACAGCCUCAGUUCACAUUCAAGAAGUGACGAUGUUCUUUAGAAAUUUUCCUUUUGUGUUUCACAGAAGAAACAAAGUCGAGUGUGGAAUGAAAUGAGACCGAAUAUUCAUUUUUGGGUGAUAAACCUAUUCGUGAACCUAAACUUAAUCUGGACCGGUUCGAACAAGUAAAAUCAGGUCUGCAAAUCUGAAAUGAACUUGUAAUGGAGGCCAAAUCCAACAUUUCCUCAGAGGCUGGAGUGUGUGACAGCAGCUGCGAUGACACACACACAGAUCACCUCUAAAAAUACCCUUCACUCAGGAAACGACACAUCGUGAACGCAUACGCUAUCAGGGAACAUUCGUGGCCCGAUUCGUUCACCGCCACAUCCUGCGGUCCUGGAAAAUGUGAAAUGUUUGUGACACUUGGACGUGUGGGACGGUGCCAGUUUGCCAGAGGCAUAUUCUGAGUGUGUCAGCUAUCAGAAACGCUCCUGUGUUUCAUUAAUGGCAUCAGCUCAGGGUGUGUUUCU